rnacentral:rRNA from 1 species
ACGAACGCUGGCGGCGUGCUUAACACAUGCAAGUCGAACGGUGAAGGGGUCUGCUUUUGUGGGCCCUGGAUGAGUGGCGACCGGGUGAGUAACACGUGAGUAACCUGCCCCCUUCUUCUGGAUAACCGCAUGAAAGUGUGGCUAAUACGGGAUAUUCUGGGUCUGUCGCAUGAUGGGUCUGGGAAAGAUUGCGCCUUUGGGUGUUUUUGGUGGGGGAUGGGCUCGCGGCCUAUCAGCUUGUUGGUGGGGUGAUGGCCUACCAAGGCGGUGACGGGUAGCCGGCCUGAGAGGGUGGACGGUCACACUGGGACUGAGACACGGCCCAGACUCCUACGGGAGGCAGCAGUGGGGAAUAUUGCACAAUGGGCGCAAGCCUGAUGCAGCGACGCCGCGUGAGGGAUGGAGGCCUUCGGGUUGUAAACCUCUUUCGCCAGUGAAGCAGGCCUGCUCCUUGUGGGUGGGUUGACGGUAGCUGGAUAAGAAGCGCCGGCUAACUACGU